GACGUUAGUGGUAUAUGCAGCUUUUCGUUCCUUCGUUCGAGUGAUUUGAUUUCGUUGCAAUUUACUAAUAAUUGUACAUUGUUGCGAAUAAGUUGCAAUUAAUUUUUAUAUCCAUAAUUCGUUGUGUUGUUUAGCGCAGUUGUAUGUAUUUCACAUCGCCAUCGCAGUAACCUAAAAACAUAAACGUCGACUAUUACGAAUUCAUACGUUUUUCCAAUAUUUCUAGAUAAUUCUGUUUUAUUUUCGGAUUAGAAUAUUAAGAAA